UGCCAGCCGCCGCGGUAAUACGGAGGUUCCAAGCGUUGUUCGGAUUUACUGGGCGUAAAGGGAGCGCAGGCGGAAGAAUUAGUCUGAAGUGGAAUCCCGGGGCUCAACCUCGGAACUGCCUUUGAUACUGCAAAUCUUGAGUUCGGAAGGGAGAGGCGGAAUUCCAGGUGUAGUGGUGAAAUACGUAGAUAUCUGGAAGAACACCAGAGGCGAAGGCGGUCUCUUGGUCCGAAACUGACGCUGAGGCGCGAAAGCGUGGGGAGCAAACAGGAUUAGAUA
rnacentral:rRNA from 1 species